rnacentral:sRNA from 1 species
GCAGGUAUGGUAUAAUAUCGUUGUAGUAUGUUUAUGGCGGUAGCUACUCAGGGGGUGAUGCCUAUGUGCAUUUUCCUACUUCAUCGAAGGGAGUAGCAUUUUUGUCUGUUGCUGAAGCAAUUGGAUUAAUGAUUCAAUUUGGAUCGUUUGUCCUAGCUUUCGUUGGCAUUGU